UUUUUAAAUCAACAUUUUCUGCGUUUCCCGGGAGGGGAGGGGACUGGGGUUUGAUCAUGGGAACGACGUCCUUCCAUUCCCAACUCGAAAAAGCAGAGUUCGGUGCCUAUGGCGCCCCCUUGCAGCUUCAAAUCGUGAACAGAAAACCCCACAGUCAUAAAUUUGCUUGGGAUGGAGAUCCAACUCCAAGAGGGGUGCCAACAGUGUUUCCACAAUUGGGCAUGCUCUCAGUUGAGGGAGGAGAGAGGCUAGGAUAAAUGAGAUGCUUGAAACUUGGUCUGAAGGAUGUGGACUAAAUGGUUCAGGAUGAAAGCAACGAAGGUGAAAGUACAAAGCUAACUGAGACAUUGAAGUUUGGCUUGAAGGAUAUGGACUGAACAGUUGAGGAUUAAAGCAGUUGAAGGUAUAACAUAAAACAAUUUAGUGCUCCAAAACCAUGGAAGGUGUUACAGAAAGCUUUUAGUUGGAGGGACAGAAGAUCGUACCUGGAGGCUGUGGAGGUUGUUGACAGAAGCACUUGCAUGAAGGCAGUCGGAUAUUUAACAAUGCAGAGUGAAAGAAUUUGUUUUGUGAGGAUGUCCAAGGUGAAGAGGGUUUUGGUUUGCUAAUCUGAACUGUACAGAUAUGUUAUAUGUAUUUGACUUUCUUUCACUUGCUUUUCUUGCCCAUUUUCCAUGGGGUUAAAUUCAGUUACAUGUUAUAUGGACUCUUGACAUCCCCUUCUCCCUUUUCCACUUUAGUUAAUUGUUUUGAUAAUGCAAUUGAAAAUUCUGGCCUUGAGGGCCAUUGUUGUAUUGAUUUAGCAGUUUCUUCUGUUACAAGGAAAUGGUUGAAUAUGUAAUUACUGUAUUCCAUUUUUAUUUUUUUCAUA